rnacentral:rRNA from 1 species
AUAUCAAUAAGCGGAGGAAAAGAAACUAACAAGGAUUCCCCUAGUAACUGCGAGUGAAGCGGGAAAAGCUCAAAUUUAAAAUCUGGCGGUCUUUGGCCGUCCGAAUUGUAGCCUAGAGAAGCGUUUUCUGCGCCGGACCGUGUACAAGUCCCUUGGAACAGGGCAUCAUAGAGGGUGAGAAUCCCGUACAUGACACGCUCCACCGGUGCUUUGUGAUGCGCUCUCGACGAGUCGAGUUGUUUGGGAAUGCAGCUCAAAAUGGGUGGUAAAUUCCAUCUAAAGCUAAAUACAGGCGAGAGACCGAUAGCGAACAAGUACCGUGAGGGAAAGAUGAAAAGCACUUUGGAAAGAGAGUUAAACAGUACGUGAAAUUGCUGAAAGGGAAACGCUUCAAGUCAGUCGUGUCGGCCAGGACUCAACCCCCCCGAAAGGUGUGGGUGUACUUCCUGGUUGAUGGGUCAGCAUCGAUUUUGGCCACCGGAAAAGGGUUGGAGGAAUGUGGCACCCUCUUUUCGGGGGGUGUGUUUAUAGCCUUUGAUCGGAUGCGGUGGUUGGGAUCGAGGAAAGCAGCACGCGUGAAAUGAAGGACUUUUUGUUUUUUCGUUUUGCGACCCGGGGUUCGCCCACGAUUGACGUGCUUAGGAUGCUGGCGUAAUGGCUUGAAACGACCCGUCUUGAAACACGGACCAAGGAGUCUAACAUGCCUG